AACGAACGCUGGCGGCGUGCCUAAUACAUGCAAGUCGAGCGAGAAAGUGGCUUCGGUCAUGAGUAAAGCGGCAGACGGGUGAGUAAUACAUAGGUAACCUUCCCUCAAGAUGAGGACAACCUUCCGAAAGGAGGGCUAAUACUGAAUGAGACCACAGUGACACAAGUCACAGGGGUUAAAGACGGCCUCUAUUUAUAAGCUUUCGCUUGAGGAUGGGCUUAUGCACCAUUAGCUAGUUGGUAGGGUAAUGGCCUACCAAGGCUUCGAUGGUUAGCUGAUCUGAGAGGUUGAUCAGCCACACUGGAACUGAGACACGGUCCAGACUCCUACGGGAGGCAGCAGUAGGGAAUAUUGCGCAAUGGAGGAAACUCUGACGCAGCGACGCCGCGUGGGUGACGAAGGUCUUCGGAUCGUAAAGCCCUGUCGGAGGGGACGAAAGACACCAAGAUAAUACCUUGGUGGGAUGACGGUACCCUUAAAGGAAGCACCGGCUAACUACGUGCCAGCA
rnacentral:rRNA from 1 species